CCAGCUUGCUGGUCUGAUCAGUGGCGAACGGGUGAGUAACACGUGAGCAACCUGCCCCUGACUCUGGAAUAACCAUGGGAAACGAUGGCUAAUACCGGAUACGAGACGCACACGCAUGUGUGGUGUCUGGAAAGAUUUAUCGGUCUGGGAUGGGCUCGCGGCCUAUCAGCUUGUUGGUGGGGUAGUGGCCUACCAAGGCGACGACGGGUAGCCGGCCUGAGAGGGCGACCGGCCACACUGGGACUGAGAUACGGCCCAGACUCCUACGGGAGGCAGCAGUGGGGAAUAUUGCGCAAUGGGCGCAAGCCUGAUGCAGCGACGCCGCGUGAGGGAUGACGGCCUUCGGGUUGUAAACCUCUUUCAGCAGGGAAGAAGCGAAAGUGACGGUACCUGCGCAAAAAACGCCGGCUAUCUACGUGCCAGCAGCCGCGCGAAUACGUAGGGCGCAAGCGUUGUCCGGAAUUAUUGGGCGUAAAGAGAUCGUAGGCGGUUUGUCGCGUCUGCUGUGAAAACCUAAGGCUCUCCCUUGCGCUUGCAGUGGGUACGCGCAGACUAUAGAGCGCUAGGGGUGACUGUAAUUCCUGGUGUAUCGGUGGAAUGCGCAGAUAUCAGGAGGACCGCCGAUGGCGACGGCAGGUCGGUGGGCUGCAACUGACGAUGAGGAGCGACAGCAUGAGGAGCGAACAGGAUUAGAUAUCCUGGUAGUUCAUGUCGUAAACGUUGGGCAGUAGGUGUGGGGCUCAUUCCUUGAGUUCCGUGUCGCAGCAAACGCAUUAAGUGCCCCGCCUGGGGAGUACGGCCGCAAGGCUAAAACUCAAAGAAAUUGGCGGGGGCCCGCACAAGCGGCGGAGCAUGCGGAUUAAUUCGAUGCAACGCGAAGAUCCUUAGCAAGGCCUGACAUACGCCGGAAUCUUCCAGAGAUGGUUGCUUCGCAAGGUCGGUGUACAGGUGGUGCAUGGUUGUCGUCAGCUCGUGUCGUGAGAUGUUGGGUUAAGUCCCGCAGCGAGCGCAACCCUCGUCACAUGUUCACAGCGGGUUAUUCCGGGGUCUCAUGGGAGACUCGCGGGGUCAUCUCGGAGGAAGGUGGAGAUGACGUCAUAUCAUCAUGCCCCUUAUGUCUUGGGCUUCACGCAUGCUACAAUGCCCAGUACAAAGGGCUGCGAUACCGCGAGGUGGAGCGUAUCACAAAAACCUGGUCUCAGUUCGGAUUGGUGUCUGCAUCUCGAUCACAUGAAGUCGGAGUCUAUAGUAAUCGCAGAUCAGCAACGCUGCGGUGAAUACGUUCCCGGGCCUUGUACACCCCGCCCGUCAAGUCACGAAAGUCGGUCACACCACGAAGCG
rnacentral:rRNA from 1 species